UUUAUGGGGACACUGACUCUGUUAUGGUACAAUUCGGUGUGCCUUCUGUAGAGGAAGCAAUGAAGUUAGGAAGAGAAGCAUCAGAAUAUAUUACAGGAACUUUCAUAAAGCCCAUUAGGCUUGAAUUUGAAAAGGUCUAUUAUCCCUAUUUGCUAAUAAGCAAGAAGAGAUAUGCUGGAUUGUACUGGACAAAGCCUGAUAGUUUUGACAAAAUGGACACAAAAGGCAUCGAGAU